rnacentral:lncRNA from 1 species
UGCAAGAGAGAUUAAGGGACCAGAUUGAAGAUGAUUGAAGACGAAAAUAAUCGGCGAGUUGAUAUGGAGCCAGUUCAUUGCUAUGUCAGUUUCUUUUGCUUAUUGGCUAAUACGUGUUAGAUAUGUCUGUAAAAGAAUAUAUUGUCAAGCAGAAAGAGCAUAUCGGUUCUUUACUGAGGAGUUCUUUUUCAAGGAGAAUGUCUGCUGAUCCGUCCUUAAAAACCAUCGAGUUGUUUAAAGUAGCGGAAAAGGGAUUAAUCUGGGGUUAAUUAUAGGUUUAAUAAUCAUAAUGGGCAUGAAAAGACAGUGUCAAGUAAUAAGGAUGACACAAUUUGCUGAGCAUGAACACCAACUUCUUUUGAGAUGAAUGCCAAGUGAACAAACAUAUAAUGAGCUGCAAGAGUUCAAGAUGGUGCUGUAGAUUACUCUGCAUCAUGAUCCUGUUUUGUUAAGCUCUAAGAUGCAGCAGUAUGCACAUUUAAACAGGAGACUAUGAAUCAGGCAGUCAAUCUAUUCAU